GGGGGUGCGGUGGAGGGGGGGGUGAUAAUAAAAGGGACCUUGAUAUGAACCGCUUGGGAACCACCUGUGUAGGAGGCAGUUCGGGAGCAACUCUCAAAAGGUGCAGUGGCUUGCAAGAUUCAGAGCUGGCGUGGGCAGGGACACCCCUCUCAGAGCUAACACAGUGCACCGCAGCCCUGGCGCCAGCUCGGGGAAUCAGGUGGGCCCUACACGAGAAGGUUCCACAGAUACUGCCUGCCUAAAGUGGAUCUUGAGUCAGAUCCUACGAAAGCCAGAAGGAGGGCAUGGCUGAGAGUACCUCGGAGAGGCAGAAAAAGGGGAGCUGACUCAACACUGCUCUGUUGGGAAGAUGUGGGGAGAGAUUCUGGAGAUGACCUUGGCUCCUGGAGAUGGCAUCUUAAAGCAGAUCUCUGCCAGGCGAGAUCCCGUGGCCCAUGGGACACACCUUCACUGGGCCUGAGCUGUCUGUCGGCUUCAUCUACUGGGACACUGGCAGGAGUCAAAGUCAGCAUGGUCCCAGGAAGCCCCUAGAGGCAGGGGAAGCUGCAUCAGGACGGGGACUAAAACAGCUCCAUCUUAAAGAGAAACUGACAUCAUCUCCGAAAGCCCUGAGGAACGUGCUCUUACACAGACCUGAGUGUUGGGGCCGCUCACUUUAGCAAGCACAGCAGCAGCCUAAACAUCGCUGACACCUCCACCAUCUGGCCUUUGGCUCCACAGAGCUGCUACCCCAACUUGGGGCACACUUUGGGAGAGAACCAGAGGGAAAAACCUCUCAGUAGUAAAUGUGGAUCUCACAAAGCCUGUGCGCGCGAGCAAUGGUUCUCAGCCCUGCGUGCACUUUAGAAUCACCCGCGGAGUUUUUAAACACCCCCAUGCCUGGACCCCACCACCAGAGGUUCUGAUUUAAUUGAUCUGGAGUAGGACCCAGGCAUGGAUAUGUUUUCAAAGCUCCCCAGGUGAUUCUAAUGUACAGCCAGAGAUGAGAACCACCACGUUAUACAAUAGGAGAGGCCCUCAGGCUCUCACUCAGAUCCCAGUUACUCUUAAUUUAUAUAUACUUCGAACAAUCCUGUUGUCUGGUUUUCUAGCUGUUAUAAGAUUAAAAGCAGUGCUUUUAG
ensembl:lncRNA LINC02069 long intergenic non-protein coding RNA 2069